GCGCAGUCCUUCGGGACCGAGCGGCGGACGGGUUAGUAACGCGUGGGAACAUACCCCUUUCUACGGAAUAGCCUCGGGAAACUGAGAGUAAUACCGUAUAAGCCCUUCGGGGGAAAGAUUUAUCGGGAAGGGAUUGGCCCGCGUUAGAUUAGAUAGUUGGUGGGGUAAUGGCCUACCAAGUCUACGAUCUAUAGCUGGUUUUAGAGGAUGAUCAGCAACACUGGGACUGAGACACGGCCCAGACUCCUACGGGAGGCAGCAGUGGGGAAUCUUAGACAAUGGGCGCAAGCCUGAUCUAGCCAUGCCGCGUGUGUGAUGAAGGUCUUAGGAUCGUAAAGCACUUUCGCCAGGGAUGAUAAUGACAGUACCUGGUAAAGAAACCCCGGCUAACUCCGUGCCAGCAGCCGCGGUAAUACGGAGGGGGUUAGCGUUGUUCGGAAUUACUGGGCGUAAAGCGUACGUAGGCGGAUCAGAAAGUUAGGGGUGAAAUCCCGAGGCUCAACCUCGGAACUGCCUCUAAAACUCCUGGUCUUGAGUUCGAGAGAGGUGAGUGGAAUUCCAAGUGUAGAGGUGAAAUUCGUAGAUAUUUAGAGGAACACCAGUGGCGAA
rnacentral:rRNA from 1 species